rnacentral:tmRNA from 1 species
GGGCUUGUACUGGUUUCGACAGGCCGGCUGAAGACGGUGAAGCUAUCCGUGGACUGUGACCACGUUAAAACGCAGAUUUAAAAUUAAACGCUGAUAAAGAAUUAGCAUACGCUGCCUAAUUAUGGUGGCUGCUGUGCUUGGGAAGCCUACAGCCUGAGUAUCAGUAUCAUCCUUUUGUAGGGAACCUUAUCUGUUAAGCUUUGCGCAGAUAAGAGCAUCUAUGAAGCUACUGAAUCCGGAGGGUGUCCCUUCCCAACCGGAUAAAGGAAUAUAAAAGAAUGGACUAUGAUAGUAGAAGAACGUGGGAUUCCGGUUUGGACGCGGGUUCGACUCCCGCCAGGUCCAUAG